rnacentral:misc_RNA from 2 species
CGACCCCAGGUCGGGCGGGACCACCCGCUGAGUUUAA